rnacentral:rRNA from 1 species
AGCAGUAGCCGCGGGAAUACGUAGGGUGCAAGCGUUAAUCGGAAUUACUGGGCGUAAAGCGUGCGCAGGCGGCUAUGCAAGACAGAUGUGAAAUCCCCGGGCUCAACCUGGGAAUGGCAGUGGAUACUGGCUCGCUAGAGUGUGUCAGAGGAUGGUGGAAUUCCCGGUGUAGCGGUGAAAUGCGUAGAGAUCGGGAGGAACAUCAGUGGCGAAGGCGGCCAUCUGGGACAACACUGACGCUGAGGCACGAAAGCGUGGGGAGCAAACAGGAUUAGAUACCCGCGUAGUCCCUGUCUCUUAUAC